GGGAAUCUUACUAGGUCCAGACAAUGGGAGGAUUGACAGUUUGAGGGCGCUUUCUUGAUUCUUUGGGUGGUGGUGCAUGGCCGUUCUUAGUUGGUGGAGUGAUUUGUCUGGUUAAUUCCGUUAACGAACGAGACCUUAACUGUCUAAAUAGGACUUGGAAAUGUUUUUCUUGUGCUUCUUAGAGGGACUGUAUGUUUGAGCGUAAUGAGGUUUGAGGCAAUAA
rnacentral:rRNA from 1 species